rnacentral:lncRNA from 1 species
CACAGCAAUGCCAGAUCCUUAGCCACGGCCUGAGGUCGGGGAUUAAACCUGCAUCCUCACGGACACUAUGUCAGGUUCUUACCCUACUGAGCCACAAGAGGAACUCCAAGUGAGCACAGAAUUUGAUCCUCCAAACUGAGACUCUUCUGAGAGUGAAAGGGGACACUAGCCAGACAGGCGGGACGCCAAGACAAGAGAAAACGGGGCCUGUUCCAUGCAGGGAGUCAGCCUAGUGAUGCCUCUGGUUAGUACCGGGUAUGUGGGACUUAAAUGUCAUUCGAAAUGUCUUCAGACAGACUGCACCAUGGUAGCAUCGAGGCUUAAAAAGCCAUGGCCACAAAAAGCCGAGAAAUGGCAGCAAAAUGUAAAUUUGACAUUAGUCGAACAAAUAUUCAUUUUUGGAAUAAUGGCCACAGUUCCACGUUUUUCUUACAAAGCAAAAUCCCAAAGUCCAUGAGACUCAAGUAAGUAGAUACGUAAAGUCCAUAGAGCAGUAUUACUUUUUUUUGGUGGAAAAUCUGCAAAAGCAUCUAACUUGCAGCGGUUCGUUCAAGUGUUUAGCAGGUCCCCUGUGCUGGGCCCAGCGGUGUGCUCAGGCCCAGCCGUAGGCACAGCUCCCGCCAGAAAGCGAGACUCCCCCACGGGGCUUACCGACUCUCGCACCUAAUACACAUGAAGCAAAAUCCCUACCUGAAUAAAAUCUGCUGAGUCUUUCUCUCGUACAAUCUUUACAUCAACUGUCACAUUCAGGAACCUCAAUACACAGGAAGCAGGAUUAUGCAGACGUGGCAUCCUUGCUCUCAGGGAUCACAGGUAGGAAGAGGGUUUAUUUCCGUCCCUUCCAUCACUGUUUCUUCCCCCUCAUAUGCCAUAGUCCACAGUCGAUGAACUCAGGGGUCACCUCUUUCACCAAAGGAAGAGGUUGGGGAGUCGGGCAUGUGAGGGACAGGCCUUCGCCUUCAGCACCACCGAACCAGCCUGCUCAGCAUGUCCCCAGUUCCUAUACCCCUCCUCCAGUGCAUUCUGGGAGUGGGCUCAGGGAAUUGACCGGUUUCUGUUAUGUCAAUGCAGAGUCCCAGACCCUCUUUGUCCCCUGCGCACUGCUCAGCAAAUGAACCCAUCCACCCCCUGCCCCAGAGAUGCUGUCAGCAACCCCACUGCGUCCUGGGCAGUCGAGUGGGCAUCUCCAAGUGGUGUCACCUGAGCCAUAAAGUAACUGCCUCCCCAAAGGCUUCCUUAGGCGUGGGCUCUCCCAUCUGGCCCCCGCCGCCAGCCAAGGGCCACCUCCCCUGGCGCAUGUCCUGCUGCCACAGGCAAAGCUGCUCCCUAGGGUGGAACUUGCAGACCUCUGAUGUCUGUAAUUCCAGGGGGCUGCCGUGCCAAACUCAAGAGUAGGAUGGAUUUCAUCGUGAGGCGGGGGUGACUACUCUGACCCGGCAGGUCUGGGUCUGCAUUUUCCCUGUGCAGACUGAUGACUACAGGCUGCUGACCCCCAGUGUCCCUUCCAGUGGGAACACCCUGCCAUCCACAUUUGACUCCCAAACCGAUCUUCCUUGGACCCAGGGCCAGGGUAUUUGCAACACAGUUGUUUUCAGAUUUGAAGGAGAGCUUGCUUGAGGCCAGAAACUGACUGCAUGGAGAAGGACUGGAUGAUAAGUGGCCAGGUCACUGCUCCAAACCCCAAGUGCCGGGGAGGGCGCCAGGGGCACAGAGCCCCCUGCACCCCCAUGUCCUGGCAGAGGAAACACUGACCCCCCCACCCCACCGAAUCCCCCUCUUCCGCUGUGCCCUUUGCACCCCUCCCAUUAGGACAGUCAAUCCCCUCCCAUUUGGGAACCCCCUUUUCAUUCUCUCCCCAGCCCCUCCUGGCACCCAGGCACCUGCGCAGGAGUGCGCCCUCCUCUCUUGGCUAAUGACAAUUUAGCUGGCUUAGAGUGGCCGUGCCAGCACCUUCCCUGCCCUUCCUGUGCCUCAGAUCUUUUCUCAAGCCUUCCUCACCCUCCCAGGGCAACUCUGGGGGCCAAGGCCCUGCUCUGCUCGUCAGAACCGCUGUACUCCCACCCCUGCAACGAAGCGUGAAGCUGACAGACAGGGCAGACCCAGAAAUGAAUUUGUACCCCAGAGUGGACACAGCCGCCCCCCAAAGGUGCCUGAGCCACACAGCUGCCCCCCAAAUGUGCUGGUCUUUCUGGUUACCAGCCUCUUCUGAGGUUAUCCAGGGGCCCACAAAGCGUAGCCUCAUUAGAACAAGUGAUGCUCUUAUCAUCCUGGAAAUUCUAAGGGUUUUUGAAGCUCUGUGUCAAGGGCAGAGACCGAAUAUAUAUUAAUGAGGUCACAGCGCCCAUUCUUUUCUCCAUUUAAGAGGCAUCUCACAUGUUACCAGCACAUUUUGCUUCUGCCUUCUGCUCCUGCACUCAGAGGAAGGGGGUCCCUGGGCCCCCAUGCCCUGUGCAGUAGAGCCCAAGCCCCUGGGCCUCAACAGCUCCCUCCCACCCUCCCUCAUAAAUAGGCCUUGGGAAUAGGAAAGGCUUGGCACAAAGACAGGGCAGAAGAAACAGAGGGCACCGACCCUGGCAGGUCUGCUCAGGGGUCCUGCCACCUGCCCUCCACACCCUCACCUCUACCCUCUACGGUGACUGCCUUCCAGCAAAUUUGUAAGAGAAGCCCCUGCCAGGCUGUCGGGAGGGAGCCACCCACACAGCAGGUGCCUGGCCCUGGAAAGAAUAGGGAAGCUGAUACAGAAACGUUGUGGUCGGAGUAUCUGAGGGGUGUUCCCCAUACAAGAUAAAGGAAACAAAUACUAAUGGUGCCUGCGGGAUGUGGAUGUGUGUUUAUUCUACCCAAACUUGCCUUUGUUUUCCCCUCCUUCUUAACAGGCCUCGCCAGGCCAUCAUCAGACCUUACUUUGACCCAACAACCUACCUGGUUGCGCGUGCUGUGUUUCCGAACCUACCGGCAGCCGAAGAAGACAUGGGCAAAACCUAUCACCAACCCACAUUCUUCCAGCAACAACAAUCCGCUCAAAUCUGCAGAAGAUGUGCUUCCUUGGGAUAAGCAAAACGUCCUGGUAUUUCUUUUUAAAUGUAUUUAAUUCUAUGUAAACAACUCUGGAGUCCUAUGCAAAUGCAGCGAGUGUACUGGUGGGUAUCUUAAAGCUCAAGCCUGUAUCUAUGGCAAAUCGAUUUCUCGGCUUCAGUGCAUCUCAGCUCUUCUGGUGACGUCUAAUCUCUGAAGUGCUUCGGCAGGGAUACUAGAUGUUAAACUUCUUCUAGAAAAUCAUCAUGUCUUUGAGUGGUGGAUAAAGGACCAGCCUAUAGGGAGGUGGUUAUAAAUUCUUUGGUGUUACACGCAGGUUGUGGAAAGAGAAAGCGUAUACCUAUGACGACGUUUCUCUACCAUGAACGAUAACGGAAUUCCCUCUGCUGUGCUUUCUUGCUUAUUGCUGCUGGUCCCCAGAAACUGUCCUCUCUAAGGAAUGACUCUGCAGCAGGGUUCGUCAGGGCCAGCCCUCACUGGGGACCUACUAUGUGCACAGCACCGUAAACACAACUGAGAGCCUUGGGAAUACAGAGCAGAAGAGAGAGAGAAUCUGGAUGGAGGGGGUGGGGGAUGACUAUGCAAACCACUGACCUGAAUGGAAAGCAGCCUGAAAUCUGUGCCAUCACAGACUCAAGCGGGAAGCACCAGGAAAUGGGCCAUUGACUCCAUCUUGGUGAAUAUUCAAGCAAACUACCUGGAGAAAGGAGCAUUUGUCCUGAAUCUUGAAAACCACUGAGUUAUCAUUUGGAGCUGGAGCAGGAGCCCUCAACAUUUAGGAUUUAUUAGGAAUCACAAUGUGGGGGAUGGAUCUUGUGUACAACACAGAUUAUCCGGCAUGAUGGCUAGAUAUUCUGAGUCAGUAAAUCUGGCACAGACUGCGUUAAGUGAUGCAGGUUAUCUGGAGGCAGGUAGUCCAGGACCAAACUGUGCCCUGAGUUGGAGGCUGGAUGGGGGGAAGAAAUGAUAGACAAGAGGAAAGGUAGGACAGACCCAGAUCAUAGAGGAAGGAAGUCCAAUGCCAUGCCAAGGAGGUUAGGCUUUAUUCUGUCAGCAUCGGUGCUGUAUCUGUGUUUUAAAACGGCUCCAUUCUGCUGGAAAGGUUUAUAGUGUUCCAGUGCUUUUAAAGAAUCUACGUGCUUGGAGAAUUUGCUUUCACUUAACAAUUUCAUAUUCUAUUUUAAUAUAGAGCUAUUGGUUAAAAGAGUAAGAAAGAAUGAAUUGGGGUGUCCCCUGGGGCACGCCUGCUUGAAAGAGGAUACAAAUCUCGGGCUAUAGGGUCAGUGUGGUUGUGAUAGGGACGGAGGAUAGUUACACAGGUAGCUGCAGAAGUCCCAGUGAGAGACCUAGAGAGGGAAACCUAGGAGUUUGGGAGGUCACAGUAAGUUAAUAAUUGCUCGAGAGGCCCAUUAGGAGGAGGCAGGCUUGCUUGACUAGCGGAAGAGCAAGAUAUGGAAGAGCGAGAUAUGCCUCAGGUCUUUGGGUGGGGGGUGGGGUGAGGCCUGCAUUCAGGUUCAGACCAAGGGCAGGAGUUUAAGGACCGCCCUUCUGCUGAUUUGAAUAGGCACCCUGACCGUCCCAGUUUGACCUUAUAGGGUCAAAUACUCUCUUAGCAGGUACCAAGGAGGGGCUACAACUCCAAGAAAGAGGAAGAAGCAGCUUUUCUCAUCCUCACUCCCCUCAGAUGAUAAAAAUGUAGCCACCUAAUCCUCGGCCAGACCCUCCUUGCCUGCCUGCUUGCAUCUCUCACAAGUGUCUUAUCUAAAUAAAUCUAUUUUUUUGCCUAUCAUUUUGUCUCUUGCUGAAUUCCUUCUGCACCGAGGCACAAAGAAUCUGAACCUUAGUAAGUCCAAGCAUCAGAUGAGUGAUACCAAUUUAAAGUUUUUGGUUUUUUGGGUUUUUUGUUUUGGUUUUUUGUUUUAUUGGUUUUGUUUUUUGUUUUUGUUGUUUUUUUUUUUGUCUUUUACAGCCACACCGGCGGCAUAUGGAGGUUCCCAGGCUAGGAGUCGAAUCAGAGCUGUAGCCGCCAGCCUGCACCACAGCCACAGCAACACAGGAUCUGAGCUGCAUCUGCGACCUACACCACAGCUAAGGCAAUGCCAGAUCCUUAACCCAUGGAGCGAGGCCAGGGAUUGAACCCCUGUCCUCAUGGAUGAUAGUUGGUUUCAUUAACCACUGAGCCACGACAGGAACUCCAUGAGUGAUACCAACUUAAAAACCAUGUGUUCAAGUCCCAAUCUGGGCUCUGGCUAUGUCCAAGACAUAAAUACUCUCAGUAUUCAGUUAUGCUUUUUCUCUUCCUUCUCAUUUGCUGAAAGGAGUAAAGAAAUAGUUGUUAGAAACUGGGGCAUUGAGACAAACUUGGUGUUUUUAGUUUUCUUUCAGAAAUGAGGAACCAUAAAAUGUGUAUUCUCUCGGAGGGAGAAACACAGGCAAAGUUCUCAAAGUUACUGUCCCUUAGAACACUAGAAACUCGUUUAAACCACACACGUUCUUCCAGAAACAUCCACGUACAUUCAUUGCAUUGAAAAUUAAAACCAAUAAUUUUUAAAAUAUUUAUUAUCACUUAGAAUAACCGUCAUAAAGCAUGAUAAUUUAAAUAACUUUAAAAAAAAAAAAAGCUAUGCUUUCCAAACCCCAAACAAAUUUAUUGAAAAAGGUGGCACUGUUUUACAAUUUUACAAAUCACCUAAAGGUCUGGCUUUAAAAAAAAAAAAGCUAGAUUCUCAUAUCUGCUGCUCUGUGUAAUCUGUUACAAUAUCACAGGGCAUGUAGCCUCUCGAAAACUCCUCUGGACGUUCAUGAGAGACUGAGAUAGUCGAAGGUAAAUAACUUAUUAGUUUUACUACAAAAUCAGUCUGAACUUUGCACAUCUCUAGGACCUCUGAGGCUCCCCAACACAUACUUAUUUUUUUUUAUUACUCAAUGAAUUUAUUAUUUUAUAGUUGUACAACGAUCAUCACAAUCCAAUUUUAUAGGAUUUCCACCCCACACCCCCAGCCCAACACGUACUUAGAACAGAACACAACCACUGUCGUCUGGGUUCCAUUUGUCUGAAAGGGGUGUGCGAUGCAGAGCCCCCCCUUCAGGACCAUUAGCUAUUACCUAUUUGAAAACCUGAAGUACCAAGUAUUAUACAAAUUCAGAACAACCAGGAAGGUGUCCAGGAACGAACUCGAUUCAGGACUGGGAGACAAAACUGAAAUCAGGUUAAAUAGCAAUUGUGGGUAAAGAGAAAUGAGGGAAAUAUCAGGAAGUACCCCAAAUUUGGUUUCUUUAAAUUUUUCUCUAAA